GAAUAAGAAGCGAAAAAUUGCAAUCGGUUUCGACCCGAUCUAAGGCUAACCUUAAGCCCUUAUUCU
rnacentral:tRNA from 1 species